rnacentral:rRNA from 2 species
GCUUUACUGUAGCCUGGAAUUGGGUUCGGGCUUGGCUUGCGCAGGAUAGGUGGGAAGCGUAGAGAUACUCCUUGUGGGGAGUAUGGAGCUAACGGUGAGAUACCACUCUGGCGAAGCUAGAAUUCUAACCUACGACCGUAAUCCGGUUGGGGGACAUUUUCAGGUGGGCAGUUUGACUGGGGCGGUCGCCUCCAAAAAGGUAACGGAGGCGUGCAAAGGUUCCCUCAGCACGCUUGGAAACCGUGCGUCGAGUGUAAAUGCAUAAAGGGAGCUUGACUGUAAGACAAACAAGUCGAGCAGGUACGAAAGUAGGCAUUAGUGAUCCGACGGCUCAGAGUGGAAUGGCCGUCGCUCAACGGAUAAAAGUUA